GGCAUAUCAACUUGAACGUGGCUUCCCAAGAGGUACCAGUGGAGGCAAGAAAUUUGACAGCGUGAUUUCACCGCUGGGAUUUGAUGGACAAAGUUGUUGGAAAUACUCCAAGAGAACAUCAAGGGUGAGCUUUCCUCUCCAGACACCAAUCUUGAUGAUUUGUGGUUUGUCUCGCUUGGUCAAUUCCUUGUGUGGCUUGUUUGCAAGUGGUGCAAGGCCAUUUGUUGUGUUGCGGUGGAAAGGAAGGCAGGAGGUAGAAGACUUUUGGUGGUGACCGUUGUUGCUUCUGCAGAACAGCUCUUGUGGAGGUAAAUGGGCAUUAGCCUUGUAUGAUGACACUGUUUUCUGCUGCAAAGCACUUGUUGGUACUCAACAAGGCUUAAAAAAUUCCACCGGAUUGGUCAUACACCCAUUGAUACACAUGUAUCGUAAACGGGAUUGCGACCGCUCCGAGGACCGCCAUAGCCCCAUGGUGACACAGCAAGGCUUCGCCUCUUUCUUGAUGUAUUUCAUGUGUGUCUUCUCUCCAGUCUUUUCUGCUGCCUCUCUCUAACCUUUUCUGCUUCUGCUCCGCUGCCCCUUUACUCUUGAAGUCGAGCCUUUUUAUAGGCAGCUAGGAACCCAAACAGUUGGCUGAAGAUAAGGAUAACUUGCAAUUUGAAUUCAAAAUUGAAGUUAUAAUUUGUCAUUCUGAAGAUGAUCACAGCAGCAACAAAACUCCAAUUUUCAUGUUUGAAGCUUGAAGCAGUAGCUUCUUUGUUUAUUCCAACUUUGGAUAGGUGCAAAUAUCUUUCACCUUGACUCGGUCUCGAGUUUGAAAGAGGUGGAUAUUAUCCAAAAUUUGUUGCCUUUAGUUCACGUUUGGCUGACUGCUUUUUCUUCUUUCA